CUCGUAGGCGGCCAACUAAGUCAGACGUGAAAUCCCUCGGCUUAACCGGGGAACUGCGUCUGAUACUGGAUGGCUUGAGGUUGGGAGAGGGAUGCGGAAUUCCAGGUGUAGCGGUGAAAUGCGUAGAUAUCUGGAGGAACACCGGUGGCGAAGGCGGCAUCCUGGACCAAUUCUGACGCUGAGGAGCGAAAGCCAGGGAGCAAACG
rnacentral:rRNA from 1 species